rnacentral:rRNA from 1 species
UUGGAGGGCAAGUCUGGUGCCAGCAGCCGCGGUAAUUCCAGCUCCAAUAGCGUAUAUUAAAGUUGUUGCAGUUAAAAAGCUCGUAGUUGAAUUUCGGGAUCAGCAGGUUGGUCGUGCCUCUGGUAUGCACUGGUUUCGCUGAUUCCUCCUUUCUGAAGAACUGUAAUGUCAUUAAUUUGGUGUUGCAGGGAAACAGGACUGUUACUUUGAAAAAAUUAGAGUGUUUAAAGCAAGCUAACGCUUGAAUACAUUAGCAUGGAAUAAUGAAAUAGGACGUUUGAUCCUAUUUUGUUGGUUUCUAGGAUUGACGUAAUGAUUAAUAGGGAUAGUUGGGGGCAUUAGUAUUCAAUUGUCAGAGGUGAAAUUCUUGGAUUUAUUGAAGACUAACUACUGCGAAAGCAUUUGCCAAGGAUGUUUUCAUUAAUCAAGAACGAAAGUUAGGGGAUCAAAGACGAUCAGAUACCGUCGUAGUCUUAACCAUAAACUAUGCCGACUAGGGAUCGGAUGAUGUUAAUUUUUUAAUGACUCAUUCGGCGCCUUACGGGAAAC